AAUAUAAAUUUGUUAGUAUAGAUUAAUAAUUAUCACCCUCACGAUUUUUUCAAUUGAUUUUAACUUUUUUUUUCUUUUUUAAAGAGAAUGACGUUGAGUGAAUUAAGGAAUAUCAUAUAAUUAUCUAUGGAAGGACACUUUUUGAACUUUGGAGGUGCAAUGCGUAUGAUAUUCACUAUAAUUCCGUAUAUAUUUAUAUAUAUCAAAAUCUUUAUCUUAUGUACUAACUAAACUAAACUCUAAAUAUAAAUAAAAAUUAAUUAAAGUUCUAAUUCUUCUCCAACUCAAUCCAUUAUCUCCUCACAACUAACCUCAAACCCAUCCUUCCACACCAUCGCAUACAACCUUGCCGCCGCUCUGAGCCUGCGGUCCACCGUGCUUCACCGCUGCUCUUAGUCUUUUUCCGGUCGCCGCCUCCCCUCUUCGAAGGCCGUUUGAGGAUUUUGAAAUUUAUAUAGUACUAACUAUGAGCAUGGAAGUUACAUUGCGCAAAACAAGCUCAUCUUCAGUUAAUGAAGUAUAUAGACAAAGAAGAAAUCUACAAAAGCAAAAGAAACGUAAACGAAAUGCAAGUGAUUUGAAAUGUUAAUUGCUCACAAAUUCAAGCUAAUAACUCAACUGGUGAUAGUACCCACAAUAAUAAUAACGUCAGAACGGAUUGGCCGUCGUCUUCGACCUCAAAAUCACGGCAGGCAACAAGCAUUUACACAUCUUCUGUUGAUUUCUCUCAAAAUCGUAUUUUGUGGUGGAGCUGCCGAAAGAGCGAUUCAACCCCAUCAAUACCUGUGAAUUCUUCAGUUAAAGUUAACGCAUAAGAAAUUUACUUCAAUCCUUACAAGAUUUCAAGGAAUUCGUGAGAUUUGUUGAAUGAGGGUUGACUUGCGCGAGCCCUAAUUUUAAUUUAAGAAGAAGAAGCGACAAACGACGUCGUUUAUGUACAUUAGAUACUACGUCGUUUUAUUAAGUAUCCGGCGUGUCCACGUCA